rnacentral:lncRNA from 1 species
AAAGAUGAGAGCUAUUUUGGCGCAGUUAGAUUUGGAUGAUGUGUUGCUGGGUUUUGAAAAGAUACCAGCUAAUUGGACAAUGGAGGAGAAACAACAGAGGGAUCGGAAGGCUUUGUCGUUUAUUCGUCUUCAUCGAUCCAACAAUAUUCUGCAAAAUAUCUUGAAGAAGAUCUAAUGCAGAAGUUGUAUUCCUAUCGCAUGGCGGAAGGAGGGUUAUUGGAAGCUCAUAUUGCCGUGUUCAAGAAAAUUGUCGCAGAUUUGGAAAUGUUGGAGGUUAAGUAUGAUAAAGAGGAUCUUGCUUUGAUCUUGUUAUGUUCGCUGCCUGGCUCUUAUGCGUCGUUUUGGGACAUCAUUUUGUAUAGUCGGGAUACUUUGGUUAGACGACGUCUAUGAUGCUUUGCACUCAAAGGAGAAGUUGAAACAUUUGGUUGGAGCUACAUCAAGGGAUGAGGAAUCUUUUAUAUCUCAUGGUGGUCGACGGAGGGGCAAAUCAAAGAAUAACAACAAUUUGUUUUGCUUCUACUACAGACGUAAAGGACAAUUUGGAAGGAUUAUGAUAAGUUGAGGCUAAAGGUAAUUUAGCUGUAAAUCGUGGAGCGCAACCAUUGACUUCAGACGAAACAAUUACAGUUGACGAUUUUUUAAACGGUGGAGAUGUGAUGUUGACCGUGAUAUCUGAUGUGGAAUCUAGGCUUAACGAGAAGUGGAUUCUCGAUUCAGCAUGUUCGCAUCAUAUGUGUUCCAACCAAAAUUUCUUUUAGACUUAUGAGGCUGUCAAACAAGGUGGAGUUGUGAUGGGAAACAACCAAUCUUGUCGUGUUGAUGGAAUCAGUCAAGUCAAAUUAAGGUUGCAACAUAAGACAGUUAGAACAAUUGAUCAAGUUCGACAUGUUCCAGACUUGAAAAGGAAUCUCAUCUCACUGAAUACUUUGGAUGUGAAAAGGUAUAAAUUCUCUGGUGGAGGUAGAGUUUUGAAAGUCUGAAUGGGUGUCCGGGUUGUAUUGGAGGGAUAGAAGAAGUUUAAGUUGUACAUCUUACAGGAAAGCGCAGAACCAGUUAAGAGAUAUCGGGAUAAGUUCAAUACCGUAGUGGAUAUUCAGUUUGGUAGAAUACCUCUUGUGAUGGACUUUGAGUUGAUUCAGAACAUUGCUAAGAGAAGCAGUGGUGAUUUCGCUUUGACACCAAUUUCAGUGGAUACAUUGUGUUCAUUUGUUACGGUUGGAUCGUGGAGCAUAGGUACAGUGGUAUCAAUAAUGUCUUGAAUGUUUUUGGGGACAUUGAAGACGACACUUCUAGCAAUGGGCUUUCUGAUCCGGCAUGUGGUAUGGUUUCUACUAUAGGGUGUGCUUCAACCCUAUUUGGUCAACAAUAAUUCCUCUGUGGAAUUUUGGAAACCCAGGAUUUGGAUUUAGCUGUCGCUUGGGGAUGCCUUGCAGAGGACGACGAUUUGGUUUGGAGAGUUUGGGAGAUUGGCCAUUUCGAUGUAGACGGAUCUUGGAGUUUUGUUCGUUGCACUAGAACUUGG